UGGGGAAUAUUGCACAAUGGGCGCAAGCCUGAUGCAGCCAUGCCGCGUGUGUGAAGAAGGCCUUCGGGUUGUAAAGCACUUUCAGCGAGGAGGAAGGUGGUGAGCUUAAUACGCUCAUCAAUUGACGUUACUCGCAGAAGAAGCACCGGCUAACUCCGUGCCAGCAGCCGCGGUAAUACGGAGGGUGCAAGCGUUAAUCGGAAUUACUGGGCGUAAAGCGCACGCAGGCGGUUUGUUAAGUCAGAUGUGAAAUCCCCGGGCUCAACCUGGGAACUGCAUUUGAAACUGGCAAGCUAGAGUCUCGUAGAGGGGGGUAGAAUUCCAGGUGUAGCGGUGAAAUGCGUAGAGAUCUGGAGGAAUACCGGUGGCGAAGGCGGCCCCCCUGGACGAAGACUGACGCUCAGGUGCGAAAGCGUGGGGCAGCAGACAGGAUUAGAUACCCUGGUAGUCCACGCUGUAAACGAUGUCGAUUUGGAGGUUGUGCCCCUUGAGGCGUGGCUUCCGGAGCUAACGCGUUAAAUCGACCGCCU
rnacentral:rRNA from 1 species